rnacentral:rRNA from 1 species
CCGGCGAGGGGAGUGAAAAAGAACCUGAAACCGUGUACGUACAAGCAGUGGGAGCACCCUUUGGGGUGUGACUGCGUACCUUUUGUAUAAUGGGUCAGCGACUUAUAUUCUGUAGCAAGGUUAACCGAAUAGGGGAGCCGCAGGGAAACCGAGUCUUAAUUGGGCGUUAAGUUGCAGGGUAUAGACCCGAAACCCGGUGAUCUAGCCAUGGGCAGGUUGAAGGUUGGGUAACACUAACUGGAGGACCGAACCGACUAAUGUUGAAAAAUUAGCGGAUGACCUGUGGCUGGGGGUGAAAGGCCAAUCAAACCGGGAGAUAGCUGGUUCUCCCCGAAAGCUAUUUAGGUAGCGCCUCGUGAAUUCAUCUCCGGGGGUAGAGCACUGUUUCGGCUAGGGGGCCAUCCCGGCUUACCAACCCGAUGCAAACUGCGAAUACCGGAGAAUGUUAUCACGGGAGACACACGGCGGGUGCUAACGUCCGUCGUGAAGAGGGAAACAACCCAGACCGCCAGCUAAGGUCCCAAAGUCAUGGUUAAGUGGGAAACGAUGUGGGAAGGCCCAGACAGCCAGGAUGUUGGCUUAGAAGCAGCCAUCAUUUAAAGAAAGCGUAAUAGCUCACUGGUCGAGUCGGCCUGCGCGGAAGAUGUAACGGGGCUAAACCAUGCACCGAAGCUGCGGCAGCGA